rnacentral:rRNA from 1 species
CCUGCGGAGGGAUCAUUACCGAGUUCAUGCCCUUACGGGUAGACCUCCCACCCUAUGUUAUAUUACCUUUGUUGCUUUGGCGGGCCGCCCGGCUUCGGCCAGGCUACCGGCUCCAGCUGGUAAGCGCUCGCCAGAGGACCCUCAACUCUGAAUAUCAGUGUCGUCCGAGUACUAUAAAAUAGUUAAAACUUUCAACAACGGAUCUCUUGGUUCUGGCAUCGAUGAAGAACGCAGCGAAAUGCGAUAAGUAAUGUGAAUUGCAGAAUUCAGUGAAUCAUCGAAUCUUUGAACGCACAUUGCGCCCCUUGGUAUUCCGAGGGGCAUGCCUGUUCGAGCGUCAUUACAACCCUCAAGCACUGCUUGGUAUUGGGCUCCGCUGGCUCCAGCGGGCCUUAAAAUCAGUGGCGGCGCCGUUUGGGCUCUGAGCGUAGUAAAUAUCAUCGCUAUAGAGACCAGGCGGUUCUUGUCAUCAACCCCCAACUUUCUAAGUUUGACCUCGGAUCAGGUAGGGAUACCCGCUGAACUUAAGCAUAUCAAAA